ACUGAAGCCACCUCCUAAACCACCGCCCAUGCCUCCGCCGUAACCUCCUCCAUAGCCACCUGCGGAGGCGGAAGUCGUGCUGCUGCUGACCACGGCUGUGGGGGAGAGGACAGGACAGCGAUCAGCGACGGCGCCCAGGCCAGCUGCUAUGUUAUUGUCAAUGAUCCACCGGGCCCACGACUAUCCAGAGCUGAUCAAGGCAGCUUUGCACAGGAUGUUCACCACGAGCCGUUCCAAGGCCACUAGCUACUCACUCCCCUGCCGUUAAGCCAUUAUGAAUUAGCCAGUGGUUCCUCCCACAGUACAGUCUUGAUGACCCCCUUGGAGGGGAUCUAGCGUCUGAAUUUAUCCUCCUAUCAAGAGGCCCCCUGUUGGAUAUUCCACAUUGGCCGUCGAAGCCUAUUAAAAGUGCCCUGAACCCAGAACAAUUACAAAAGCCAAUCACUUCCCUCUCCUCUCCCAGAAAACCCCUCCAACUUCCGUAAAAAUAUGUUUAAAUUAGUUGCUACUACCCUGGAUUAGUGCAGAUAUUUCAGAAUUAACUCUCAUUUUCUUAGCUACUUUCGGUACUUACAGAUGCUGACAGCACUCGGACACUCUCCAGACAUCCUGUUUGAGAAAGCAAGAGAAAGUGGGCCCCGUCACAAAGCACAUCACCAACAAGUCCACGGACCAAGGGCAUGAAUAGCAACCAGAGCUGAACAGAGAAGCCUGGCAAAUCAGCAGCUUGCGGUAGGUGGCGAUCUCCAC
rnacentral:lncRNA from 1 species